rnacentral:lncRNA from 1 species
UAGCAACCGCAACAAACCCAAGCAAACAAACAAUAAGCCCAGUAAUGUAGAAAUAAUCGACCCAGGAUACUCAAUAUUAGUUUUCAGCCGAUUGAGUGUUCAAAUAAGAGAAUGAGAGAGUACAUUAGUCGCACAGAAAGAGAGAGUUUAAGAGAGUCUAAAGUUGUGACAGAUAUGCAGUGUGUUGGUGUCUUUCAAAGAGAAAGGGGAGGGUAUUUAUAGUACUGGAAGACAAAUGCAUAAACAAACAUAAAUCUUUAAUUGAGGGACUAGUUUCAAUCAAGAAUCCAAUUAGUAUCAGGG